ACAAAUAUGAUGAUGAUGAUCAAAACUGUGGUAUUUAUUUGUUAAAACAUAAGUGGGGCUAUCUUAGUACUUUCGCAAUGGACAUUAAUUUAAUUAAUAGUAUCGGGGUGUGAGAGUGAUUUGGACAAACCAAAGGCCGUCUCACAGUAAUUUACAAGAAAAGAAAAAAAAAAAUCAAAUAAAAUUUAAAAUUUGAAAAAGCAUGGUAGGUGUAAUGGCAUAAUAGUAAAUCUAAUAAACUUUGUAUCUUUAUAUUCUCACCUCAAGUGCACGCGCCAACCACCCACAAUUUCCAUCUAUCAGUAUUUAUGUGUGUUGAGCUAAAGCUUCUCCAAAGAAAUCCACCCUUCACUUACUCUCACAUCUCUCUCUCUCCCCAAGAAGAUUGCCAAGAAGUGAGAUAUAUAUAUCCGGCUCUCUCUAUUAGUUUUUCUGUGUUUUGCCAUUUCUUUUAUACAGAUGAUUACAUAUGUAUCUAAAUUUGUUUUUAGAUGUUAGAAUUUGAAUCCAUGUUGUUUAGGGACACUCCAUGACUGUAAAAUCUUAUUUUUCGAAGUUUCUUGUUUAAUCAUUUUCCUUUAGCUUGCACCAUCUACAAGUUUUAAGUUUUUAGCUAGAAUAUACAUAUAUGGUACGUAAGCGUUGUUUUUCAAUGAUGAAUUUGGAUCUCAUAUUGGAAAAUCUGACCUACAAAUCCAGAAACCGUGAAUUAUUGAGAAAGAGAGUUUUUUUAUUUUUUUUAUAAAGAAUUUCACAAUUCUUUGGUUCAACUCUUUUUGGGGGUACUGUGAAUUUUCGGGGGAAAGGAAAAAAUAUAUAUUUUUGGGGUUUUACUUUUGGAAUUGCAUAUUGUCUUAGGGUUCCUUAAGAUCCCUUUCCUGGUGCCGCGUCAGCACAUGCUGGUGGUCAUGAAUUGGAAGACGCGUAUAUAUAUUAUACGUGUGUGUGAGUGUGUGUAAAUCUAGUGUAUAUAUAUUAUAUGUGUGUGUGUGUGUGUAAAUCUAGUGUUAGUACUUACUCCUACUUUUAUAUCUUUUAUUUUUUGGUAGGUGUCCAUCCUACUUUCAUUUUCACUUUCCUCCUUUACUCAUUUUGGCUAUAAACAUAUCUGGUUUUUCAAUUUUAACUAAUGAGUGGAGUGUAACCCUACUCAACUUACAUAUAUCAUGCAUGGACUGCUCAAGAGUCAUCUUUUGCAGCUGCGGCAUCAUCAAGAUUCACAUGCAAAUAAUGCGCGGCAGCGCGUUUCUAAGAGCUGCCGGAGUUGGAGGUGAUGAGAAUCUUGAUGAUGCUGCAUCGGCAACCGAUGGCUAUACUCAGAAAGCCUCAAGGAAAUAGAAGAAGUUAAAAGCAAACUAAUUCACAUAGAUUAUGGAGGGGUAACAAAGCUUGAUGGAACAACUCCCUGAAGCAUCUUGCAAAUUUGUCUCCUUAAGUACAACCCUCUUUCUGUGUGUGAUUGUGUUUUUCAAUUAAUUGUGUUUUAUGUUUAUAUUUUUGAGUAUUUUCGUUUCAUUUCUUUAUAAACUGGUACUAAUUAGAAAUUCAACAAUAGGAUAAUAUUUUUCUUAUUCUUUUCUCUGCAUCAAUUCUUCCUUGAAAUAUAAGGGAUUCUGUGUGAGUGUGCGUUUAUCUUUUCCUAUAGCUUCUUCUGGAUUUGUACAACUUACUUUUCCCUCAUUUUGUUUUUUAAUGGCCUUUAAAUAUUACUCACGUCGAUCUCUUGGUGUUUUUCAAUUAGGCAUUUUCCUUAAUUGUUGUGAUUCUAUGGUAAAUUAGAGCUCUCAACUUUUCAAGUUUCACUAAUCAAUCUCUAAUUAAAUUAACAAAUUUUAGUUUGAACAUGCGUGAAAAAUAUAGAGGCAUGAUAUAUAAAGCACACUAAUGCUCGCUGGGCACUCACAGACUUAUAAACCAACAUAUUAGAACUAUAAAAGCAAAAUGAAACAAAAUGAUCUAUAGGCAUAUAUUUUAACUUGAGAUUAUCAACUUUAGCAGAUCUUAUAAGGUAAUGAAUCUACCUUAUAUAUAUUGUUAAAACAUUUUAACACACUCCUUAGUUUAAUCAGAAAACUGAAUGUAUUGGUGAAUCUAAUCUUCAAUUUAAAUUAAAGCUUAGGGAUUAAAAUGAUCUAGUAUACAUAUAGAUAAUUUUUGGAAAAAGAUUGAACUUUGAAACACCAAGCAAGAAAAAAAAAAAAAAAAAAGGGUCAUUACCCAGUUCUGAUUCCUAAUACAGAAGGGUAAUUUCAAAGAAUGGGCCGGAUUAACAAAUAAAAAAUAUGCACUUACCGAGGAAAAAAAAGAAAAAAAAAAAACUUAAAAAAUAUGAACAUAAAACUUAUCGAGAAAAGGGUGUGUGUUUGCUUUAACUAAAAACUUACUGGAAAAAAAAUGCACAUAAUAAAUAUAAAGGUCACCAGAAAAACACACUUCAAAAGGGCACACCAUAUGUGUGAACUGAAGAACUGGUGGUUACAAUUUGGACACUAACAUUUAUUUUGUCCAUGGAAUUGAAGUUUUAAGGAAAAACAGAAGCCAUGCCAUUUGGGAAGGCUAUAUAGACAAGAACUGUUAAUGUCAAUGGAAAAUGAAUGGGAGGGCAAAGAAUAUUUUCUCUAAGGUCCACAAGUAUCUGGAGAGGAAACACAUUUAUUUGUACCAUGUGAUAAUAGGAAAUCAAUAUUUAGUUUGAAUAAAAAUCUAUAAAGAUCAAAUUUCUUUUGGUGGAUGUCAAAUAAGCUAGGUAUAUGUGAAUGUGUCCGCAUCUUUUAGUUGGAUCUCGCUAGAUUCUAGGUUGAUGUGUUAUCACACUUCUGCCCACGUCUGGUAUCGAACUCCUCUCCUCCUCUUUGAGGAUGGGGAGAUUAUACCAUUGAGCUAGAAGCCCUUUCACCUUUUAUCUAGGGUUUGUUAAUGUACUUAUAUUUGAACCCCAAAUCUGUUAUAUAUUAUAUAUAUCUAGGGUAGCUGAGUCCCAUGACCACAUUUUCUUCCUUUGUCUUUUCUCCCAUUCUAUCAGCACUUAUGCAACUUCCACGUUUAAGUGUUCAUCUAAUUGGUCCUCUCAUUCCUGAUUCUCUCAAGUUUCAGCCAACAAUCUUACUCUUGCAGCUUGUGUUUAUGACAUUUAGAAGGAAAUAAAUAGCAGGAUUUUCAAGUCUAAGAUCUAUUUCAUCUCUCAUCCAGUCCAUUUUCAGUGCAGACUUGUUUCCAUCAAGGUUCCAGAUUUUGAAACUGCUAGAUCCAUUGGUUCUUCCUGGAACCUUCCAAGCUCUUUUAUCAAGUCUGCUGUUAUCACCAGUAGCUCUUUUUCCAUUUGUGUAUUUUUUUUUUUACUUUUAUUUAUUUAUUUAUUUGUUGGCCCUCAGCAAUUUGUACAGUUUUUUUAUUUUUUAUUUUUUUUUUAUAAUAUUUAAAUUUUACCAAAGAAAAAAAAAAAAAAUCAUGUUCUUAUUGACCAUGCAUGCAUUUAGGUAUGCUGCAAUAAUUCUUUUUAUUUUCUUUAAAAAAGAGAGAGAGAGAGAAGAGAUUUUGUGACUUAUAAAAAAUUCUUUUAUUGUCCCCAUGGAGUCCUUCCUUUUAUGAUUUUAUUGUAUAUUUCGAAGGCUAGUGAAGGGAGGUAGCUAGAGAUGAAUUUAUGUGUAGGCAUCAGGAAAUUUUUUUUUUUUGUAAA